GUUGUAGUUAAAAAGCUCAUACUUGGACUUUGGGUUGGGUCGGCCGAUUCGCCUUUAAAUGUGCACUAGUUUACUCGUCCCAUCGGUUAGUGAUGCGCUCCUACCCUAGAUUUGGCAAGUCGUGCCUCCGGCAUUGUUAUCUCGAAGAAAUUAGGUGCUUAAAGCAAGCAUGUCACUCUGUAUACAUAAGUAUGGGAUAACCUCAUAGGAUUUCGGUCCUAUUAUGUUGGCCUUUGGGAUAGGAGUAAUGAUUACCAGGGACAGUCAGGAACCUUUGUAUUCUAUAGUCAGAGGUGGAAUUCUUCAAUUUAUGAAAGACGAACAACUAUGAAAGUAUUUGCCAAGGAUGUUUUCUAUUAACAUAGAAUGAAAGUUGGGGGAUCGAAGAUGAACAAACACCAUCCUUGUCUCAACCAUAAACAAUGACGACUAAGGAUUGGUGGAUGUUACUUUUAGUACUCCAUUGGCACCUUAUGAUAAAUCAAAGUUUAUGACUCCAUUGGCACCUUAUGAGAAAUCAAAGUUUUUGAAAGACUAUGAUGAGCUCUUUCUUGAGUCCAUGGGUGGUGGGGCAUAGUCGUUCUUAGUUGGUAGGGAGAUUUGUUUGGUUAAAUUCGUUAAUGAAUGAGACCUCAGUAUACCUCCAUGGUCGGCUUCUUAUGGGACUAGGGGGGUGUUUUAUACCACAGAGGUUUGAGGCAAUAAUUGGUCUUUGAUGCCUUUAGAU
rnacentral:lncRNA from 1 species